ensembl:processed_transcript Gas5 growth arrest specific 5
GGCCUUUCGGAGCUGUGCGGCACUCUGAGCAGGAAUGGCAGUGUGGACCUCUGUGAUGGGACAUCUUGUGGGAUCUCACAGCCAGUUCUGUGGCAAAGGAGGAUGAAGGCUUACGAGGACUCGUCAGGAAGCUGGAUAACAGAGCGAGCGCAAUGUGCUAGAAUAGAAGACCAGAAAAUGAAAUGGUGGAGUUUGAGGCUGGAUAGACAGUUUGAAAGGUAAGUAUUGAAAAACUUGAAUUUGGGUCAGUACAAAGGGACAUGCAGAGACUUUGAAUCAUCAAAACUCCAGCAUGCAUUGUCUUACGGAUGUUUAGAUGUGUUUUGGACAACACUCUGGGUUCUUGUAAUGAUGUUGAUCAAAUGUCUGAGCUGAAAAUAACUUGUAGACAAUUUUUAACACUGAAGAACCCUGUGGCAGGCAACUAAGAAUAGUCGAAUGAUGUUUAGCAUAUUUGUAAGAGGUAUUUUCUUUUAAUUCUAGUUAACUGGUUGCAUGCUUGUUCAUUUGGCUGGCUUGCUUGGGUACAAAUGAUGGUUUGAAUAAAGAAAGGUAUUACGCAUGGGUCACCUCAAGUGAAGGCACUGCAAACACAAU